UUGACAUAGCAGUGGUAGGGAAGAGAAAUCCGGACCGACCCUUCGGGGAGCUGUUACAGGUGUUGCAUGGCUGUCGUCAGCUCGUGUCGUGAGAUGUUCGGUUAAGUCCGCUAACGAGCGCAACCCGCGUUGUGUGUUAUAUGUGUCACACAAUACCGCCGGUAUUAAGCCGGAGGAAGGUGCGGAUGACGUCAAGUCAGCAUGACCUUUAUAUCCAGGGCUACACACACGCUACAAUGGACAGUACAACAGGUUGCCAAGCCGCGAGGCGGAGCCAAUCCUCUAAAGCUGUCCUCAGUUCAGAUUGCAGGCUGCAACUCGCCUGCAUGAAGCCGGAAUCGCUAGUAAUCGCGGAUCAGCAUGCCGCGGUCGAAUACGUUCCCGGGCCUU
rnacentral:rRNA from 1 species